GCGGGAGUAGCUCAGUGGUAGAGCACAACCUUGCCAAGGUUGGGGCCGCGGGUUCGACCCCCGUCUCCCGCUCCA
rnacentral:tRNA from 1 species